rnacentral:rRNA from 1 species
UCGUUGCUACCGAUUGGCUGUGGGAUAGAGCUGAGGGGAGGCCUCUCUUUGAAGUUCGCUUCCUUGAGUAGUGCCGAAUCUCAGCAAUAUUUCUCAGCUAGAGGAAGCAA